AGUGAACGCUGGCGGUAGGCCUAACACAUGCAAGUCGAACGGCAGCACAGUAAGAGCUUGCUCUUACGGGUGGCGAGUGGCGGACGGGUGAGGAAUACAUCGGAAUCUACUUUUUCGUGGGGGAUAGCGUAGGGAAACUUACGCUAAUACCGCAUACGACCUACGGGUGAAAGCAGGGGAUCUUCGGACCUUGCGCGAUUGAAUGAGCCGAUGUCGGAUUAGCUAGUUGGCGGGGUAAAGGCCCACCAAGGCGACGAUCCGUAGCUGGUCUGAGAGGAUGAUCAGCCACACUGGAACUGAGACACGGUCCAGACUCCUACGGGAGGCAGCAGUGGGGAAUAUUGGACAAUGGGCGCAAGCCUGAUCCAGCCAUACCGCGUGGGUGAAGAAGGCCUUCGGGUUGUAAAGCCCUUUUGUUGGGAAAGAAAAGCAGCAGGUUAAUACCCCGCUGUUCUGACGGUACCCAAAGAAUAAGCACCGGCGAACUUCGU
rnacentral:rRNA from 1 species